rnacentral:rRNA from 1 species
GAUGAACGCUGGCGGCGUGCCUAAUACAUGCAAGUCGAGCGAACGGACGAGAAGCUUGCUUCUCUGAUGUUAGCGGCGGACGGGUGAGUAACACGUGGAUAACCUACCUAUAAGACUGGGAUAACUUCGGGAAACCGGAGCUAAUACCGGAUGAUAUUUUGAACCGCAUGGUUCAAAAGUGAAAGACGGUCUUGCUGUCACUUAUAGAUGGAUCCGCGCUGCAUUAGCUAGUUGGCAAGGUAACGGCUUACCAAGGCAACGAUGCAUAGCCGACCUGAGAGGGUGAUCGGCCACACUGGAACUGCGACACGGUCCAGACUCCUACGGGAGGCAGCAGUAGGGAAUCUUCCGCAAUGGGCGAAAGCCUGACGGAGCAACGCCGCGUGAGUGAUGAAGGUCUUCGGAUCGUAAAACUCUGUUAUUAGGGAAGAACAUAUGUGUAAGUAACUGUGAACAUCUUGACGGUACCUAAUCAGAAAGCCACGGCUAACUACGUG